GAUUAUUGAGGCAAAUUUCCGUAUAGCUGUAUACCCUACACCCCUUUCUUUUUAAGGGGUAUGGAAAAGUUGACUUGUUGGCUUCACCGACGCGGCUACACUUCACUUGUGUCUUUGGCUUUGAUUUUGGUACCGAGUAUUUAAUGAUAUUUCUCUCUUUUUAUUCAGCCCGGCAACCCAACAAUUACGCUUAAUGCCAAACAUCCUCUGCGUUCUGGCUGCUCCAUCCCAACCUUAACUCCAACUCCAACUCCAAGUCAAACUCCGACUUUAGCUCCAAGUUGUGAGCUCCCAAGUGCGGUGGCUGUGGUUUGAUCUUGUUACGCAUUCGAGGCUCGCUGUUUUUUUCAAACUCUUUCAGCAACGACUACUAGGUGGCCUUUAGAUUGUGCUCGGGAAUCUGGAUUCUGGCAUCUGGAUCUGCGAUCUGAGGUAGCGUUUGAUUGGCAUGUAGAGCAGAACAGCCUCGUCUAGCUUUCUGUCUUGCCAGAUAGUUGGCCAGCUGGAGAAAACCUAAGCUGCGCUGCACUUUCCAUCGAAAGUGUUGAAAAUCGUUGGGAUUGGUCCUUCUCUUAUUGAUUUACCCACUAACUAUCCCUCGGCGACCAAAAACAACUGUAUUCUAUAUCAAUCACCGAACUUUUCCAGCAACAGCGUUUCGAAAUUGCCCGCUUAUUAUUUAAAUAAUUUAAUAAAUUAUUGAACAGUCGCCCAGGGGCGAGUAAUGAAGUCGGGCUUCGGCUCUCGACUUAGACAGUUGUAAUAAAUAAGUUUUAUUUUUAUUUCACAGCUACUGCCGCUGGCGGACAAAGUCGCGAAUGGGACAGUGGGCGCGUUGUGCAAAUUGCUGAUAAAUUUGAGGAUAAGAGAAGGUUUUUCGGGUGGGCAAACUAUAUGAGUGAAUCUUUUGGAAGUAAGAAGUUUAUGUAGCAAAGCAUUGAGUUUACAUAAUUAAGUAAUUGUGGAGCUAAUAAAUUUUAAAUUUUUUUUUCGAUUUAUAAGAUUUUAUAAAUCACCUUAUUUUUUCUAUUUUUGUUUUUUAGACGUAAUAAUUUUUUUGGUUAAUAAAUUUUCUUUUUUAAGGUAAUGUAAUAUAACCAAUAUAAAGUGGGUUUUACAUUAUACUGAUUUUUACAAUUCUAACAUUCUGGAAUUGGUAUGAACCCAAUUUCUACUAAUUAUUACCCACUGUGCACAAUGGGGCCAUCACAGAUAUUACAUCUUAAGGUCAAAAUAUUAGCAAAUUUUAUGUGACCCGCUCACCGAACGAAGCCGCCAGGGAAACAACAAAAAAAAAAAAAAAAAAAGGGGAGAAGGCCAGCUAGCCAAUCCAAUCCAACGUGAGGAGCAGAGGGAUUUUGGGGGAACUUGGGGGAAGCUGCAGCAACUGAGGAGUUGGGGCUGUUAAUUUCGCUUCGGAGAGCGGUAGGCACAUAAUCAGUUUAUUUUGUUGCUUUGCUUUUCUUGGCAGCAGGAGCUGAAGUUGAAGCUGAAGCUGAAGCUCGCCAAGAAGAAGAAAAAGUGCCCCGGGUUACACGCCAAAGAUACAAUUUUAGAUUAUAUGGCCAACUGCGCGCAUGCGCAUAAUAAUAAUGCAUGCAACAAGACGACGACGACGACGAAGACUCAAAGACGAAGACGAUGGCGAUGGCGAUGGGCGACGACGAGUAGCCAAUUGCAGGCAGGGAAGGCCAAGAAGGCCAAGAGGGCCAGGAAGGCCAAGAAGGCCUUACUCGACAACAACAACAACAACAACUGAAGGAACCCAAAGUCGGGUCGUCUUUUUAGCUGGCUUCCUGUAGGGGGCACAAAAAAGGCGUGCAAGUGGGUAUAAUCAUCAUCAGCUUUGAUAACACACCACGAGCGCAGCGCAGCGACGUUGGCUGCAACGACCUGCCUGCCAGGGUCCAAAGUUUUGAAGACCCCAGCAACCCGGGCACCCUGGAACCCCUAGACCCCAAGCCCCCGAUCCCCAAACCCCGAAACCCCAAACUCCAGACCCGGCAUGAUCUGCUGCUUGGCAUUUGACUUUCGGGCCAACUUCUCUCCUCUUUUUUCGCUCUUUGGUUUUUGCUUUUGUUUUUUCACUGGGUGCUUCCAGUCAUGCGCCGACUUCAACGGCGAUUUGGAGUCUUGACUUUGGUCCCGAGGUCUCUGGGGUCUGGGGUUUGGGGUCUCGAUGGGGUCUCGAUGCUGCCUCACUUUGCUGCCUCCGAAGUUGCUGCCUGCCUGCCGACUGUCAGUUAAAUGGCAGCUCCGCUGCCGUGGCCACCUUAUAACCUCCGUCCGGUGCACAUUUCAUCUAACCUCUGCUCCAGUCCGAGCUGCACAGUGGGACAAACUGCAGCGAAAAAUGGGGGAGGAACUUACUAUUUAUUUUCUAGAAGUAUCCUGCAUUUGUAAUCGAUUAAUGUUUUUUAAUUGUGGCAAGUUACCAAAAUUAUUUUAAUUGAACUGUCACUUCGUAAUUAAAAGAAAAAAAAAUUAAUUUUUAAAAAUUAAGAUUAGAAAUAGUUGAAUAGUUUUACCUAUUAUUUAACUAUUCAACUAUUAUAUAUUAUAAAAAGUAUAAUAAAAAUUGUAUCAUUAUGAAUCAUUACUUGUUUCUUUUUUUGAGUGUUCUAUCGGAAUUUAUAUCAAAUAUCGAUCAAAGAAAAAAUUACUUGAGAAGUGGUAUUAUGGAACUAAAUUGUAUUGAUUGUCUCUACUAAGAUACUUGGGGUUAUAAAAGUUUGAGUGCUAAUCCAUAGAGGACAUAGUUGCCAUUUUACUUUACUUUGUUGAAAGUGCAUUAAUUUAAUAUAGCUUUAGAUACCCAGAAUGAAACUAUCUAUAACCUACUGUGCCACAUAGAGUUGAAAGGAGAAAGAUUGAGAGAGCCUUGCAGGUCUCGCCUCGAUUGCGAUCAUUUGCUUUCGUGCUGUGAUUUCUGGCCGCAAACCUCCGAAGGAACAGAACUUUUCCUUCAAUAUAGAUGAUUGUUUGGAUCCUGUUCGCUUCGGUUGGGUUUUCUUUUUCCUUUUUCCUUUAUUUUUUUCUAACUGCCACAGCAGGUCGGUUUUGCCGGCUCCGAAGGCCCAGCAGCAACAUCAUCAAGCAGACGACAUCAUUAUCGUGCAACAUUAUCGAAAAAGAAGGAGAAAAAAUGCCAAACGCGAGGCAAGAAAUUGCUUGUCUUUUGGCCAAUUUUUUUCCUUUCCUACCAACUUUUCGUAGGCGGCCGAAAAGUGGAAGCCGGCAGGAAAAAAAAAAGAAAAGAAAAAAAACGCCUGCGAACGGACCAAUAUAUUGAAAUAUGGCGGUAAGCGGGCAAUUUAAAUGUGGCCCCCGCAAUCGCUUCCACCCGCCGAUGCACGGAAUGUGGUUUUAAGUAAUUCAUGGAUUAAUGGUAGCAUAUUGGUCUUGUGGCAAAAAAAAAAAAAAAAAAAAUAAAGAGGGGGAGGAGGGUUGUCUCUUGAGUGAAUGGUCGUGUCUGAGGCCGAGACUAAAACUGCUGUCUGUCUGUCUGUUUUUUUUUUUUUUUUUUUUUUUUUGUAGGAGGCCUUGGCCGUGGUAAGAGUAGGAGUUGCAUGUUUAGCACGUGCCUUCGGUUCCUCUUGUUGCACACUCAAAACUUGCUGCUCGUGUGCGGUAGUUGCUGCCGUUAUUGUUGCUCGUUGCUGGUUGCUGGUUGCAACUUGCUGUUGCUUGUUGCCUGUUGCUGUUGCUAGUUGCUGUUGCUAGUUGUUGCUGUUGCAAGUUGCCGUUGCUGAUAAUGCGUUGACCGCCAACGCCGCAAACUAGAUUGUUACGUUUAUAAUCAUUAGGCGAGUCGGUGAUUUGUUUUCCUUUUCCUACCUUGUUUUUUUUUUUUUGCUUUUUAGCAGCUUUGGUUCUUUGGGCUAUGAAAGUUGUUGGUUGUUACCACAAAAGCACCGUUAAUAUGAGGUUGGUUUUGUAGGACAAAAGUGGAACUGCAGGCUACCUUUUCAAAUAAAGGGGUUGCUUAUACUAUAAAAACUGGAAGCCUAACAGAUGGGUUCCAAAUAGUUAAUCAUGCGAUUUUCAGCAACAGUGCAAAUAGAAAAAAAUAUGUGGAUAUACUAUAUAUUUAACUACAUACUUUAAAUUUGAAUUAAACAGAAAAAUGGAUUUUAUAUGCUUAAUAAAAAAAUAUUUAGUCAUAUUUGUAAAGCUGAUUUGGUUCACUUCAUAUAGUUUAUUUUAUUUUAAUCUAAAAACAAACAUUGCGUAAAUUUUAAUUUUCUACGAUUACAAACAAUCAAUCGCCAAGCCAUAAUUCAAGUUGAAUGAAAUCUAUUUAUUUUUACUGUCUGAUUGGAUCUCUAUAAAAUUAAUGAGCCCAUCAAAUAAAGUUCAAGUGUGUGUUACUCAACUCCUAAAAUUAAAACUCAAUCGAAUCCCCUUUUCAGUUGCGUCACAAUUUGGCCUCCUCAAUUGAAGUUAUCUUUCACAUUUCUGUCACUUGGCUAAACCGAAAAUUAAUUUUCAAUUUUUUUCUUCGGGUUUUUUUUGGCACAUAACGCCUCGUCAUACUUCCUGUAGAAAGAAGAAAAAACACCAACUCACCGCACACACCAGCAAACACUAAAAGCCAACGAGAAACCAACAAAUUGCAUUUUAAUGCAACUUUCCAAAUCAAUUUUCCAAAAACCAAACACCGAGCGCGGGGAAAAGGUGGAGGUGCAUUUCCCUUUUGAAAAUUCAAGGCAAGAGAGUAAGAAGAAGAAGAAGGCAAAAAAAGAUAUGGUCAGAGGGAUAUAGCGGGGAAUCGGGUCGGAGUUAGCCACACGAGUGCCAUUGGCCAAAAGGCCAAUAUAAAAAUAAAUAAAACUUAAGUCAGCCAUGUGACAGUUAUGGAUGAGAAGGCUGCACUCCAACGUGGCCAACUGGGCACCCAACUUCGAGCUCCAAACUACAAACUCCAAGAUCCAAGCUCCAAACUCCAAACUCGAAAUCCGGACUUGGAGUCCCGGCCAGAGAGCCAAAGUAACGAGUUGCCGGCGCGAUAAAAAAUCUAACUUUAAUACGAAUUAAGAUAAACAAAUAAUGAGAAAGGGAGCGGCAGGAAAAGUGGGAAAAAGGGGGGAGGGGAAAGGGGGAAAUGGGGAGGGAAGAGGGGGAAAAAGGGGUGGGGAAAGGGUAAGGAGCCCAUCUAAUCGAAUGCUUUUUAGCUGGCAAUGGAGACCUCCAUCCCCAAGCUCAAGUGACAAGUGCGAGUCUAGGCUUUUGACAUUUGCUGAAUAUGAAACUGCAACUCGAUGAUCUUCACAAUAAUGAUGAUAAUGAUGAAAAUAGCAGUGAUGAUCAUCAUGAUGAUGACUACGUGGAUUUGCAGUCGUUGUUUAUGUUUACUCGAACGAUGAAACCUUAUGCCUAAUAAUAGGGUCGACUUUGAAAUGCAUACGAAAAGCGGAGAGGUACUGGACUGGAGACACAGUUCGCCUCGCUGUUUUUUAUUUAUUUUUUUUUUUUUUUUUUUUAUUUUCCGUUUGUCGGGGGCGUUAGCCACGGUGCAAAAUGUAGAGCUGCGGAGUUGAUCUCCAUGUUGCCGAUGCUUGACAUUUAUGUGAACCCAGGCAACAAUAACACGUUGGUGUACCAGCGACAGAACGACACGAAACCAAGAAAAAACUUGAGGAAGGGAAGCCGAAUAAAUACCCUUGCAAAUAAACUAAAAUGUAUAAAAUAACCAUAUCAAAAUUAUAUAUUUUCCAUAAAGAUUUUUCAAUGAAUUGAAAUAAAUUUUUAAUAGACGAAAUAGCCAUCAGUCUUCAGCUUUAAAUCUGAUGGCAUAUAAUAAUAAUUAUUAUCUCCCAAUUUUUUUUUUAAUGAUGAAUAUCAUUUUUGCUAAUCAUUAUUGGAAAAAAUUGAAUAGUAUUUUAGAAAACAAUUGCUAAGCGCAUUUCUUUUUUGAGGGUAGUUUGGGUAUAAAAGUAAUAACUAUUCAUAAAGCUUAUGUUUUUAAAGCUCAUCAGGAAGAUAUAUUAUUAAGGAGAUCGGAGGACACUGAAGUUAAACUACCCUCUAACAAGGGUAUAGAAAACCAAGCCAAAAGCGAGCAAACCCGCGUUGGAGCCGGAGAUCCAAGAGAUCCCAGUUGAUCGUGGGCAAAGUCAACUCGCUCGAGUCAUGAAUCUUAUGACGCCUACGUGUACUUUUGGCAUUUGGCAUGUCAAAUACAAUAAGUACUGGGGGUUGGAUCCCCGGUGCCAGAGAUCAAAACUGCGAGUACAUUGGAACAUUGGGAACCCCAAGAUGGAGAAGGAGCUCCAAAUGCGAUGAUUCCUCGGGUUCAAAACUCUCAAGAGACUGCGUUGACUUCUUUUUGAGCCCGAACUUGUUUCUUAUUUCGACAAAAAGGGGAACAUUUCUGGUCUGUCAUUAACUGACAGAAACUAAUUCGCUCCAAAUAAGUUCAAGGCGGAAUGCUGAUGGAUUGACAAGGCGAAUGGGUUCGCAGAUGUUCUUCUCAGUUCUUGUCACAAUUUGCAAGUUCGUCAUCUUGAGUUUCUUGGGAAAUUAGAUGGAGAUGUGUCGGUAAUGGCUUGAUUGUGAACUUUGAUUAGUCGAAGGGGUUAAAGUUGUUCGCUCAUUAAAAGGCGGUUCUAUUGGGGGUCCAUAGACCUCAAUUAGAUCUGGUUAUCUUUGAAAUUGGUAAAUUUUCAUUAACUAGAUAAAUUGAUGGCACGCAACCUUUAAAGUUUUCAACACAAUAAAUUUUGCAAAUAAAUAAAAUACAAUUAAACAAACUUUGAAAGGAUUUGUUGCUUAUAAAUAUCUAGAUAUCAGAGAUUAAUGGAUUGGCAAUUGAAUUUUGGUUUAAUAGUAGCGAUAAAAAUGAAUAAUAAUUAGAUACAUUUUUGGCCAAAUUGAUCGUUAGAACAAUAACAGUAAAUCAUUUAAAAUGACAAUGCUACUUUUGGAAAUAUUUAAUCUUAUCCAAAAAUUGUGAAUUAAAUAUUCUAAAUGUUUUGGAAACUAUAAAUAUUUUAACAAAGUAUUUUUUUUGUUCAAGUAAUUUAACUUUUUAAAGUCUAGAUUAGUUUAAAAUUUUCUGGUUUAUAAUAGAUUUAACACAAGUUUUCCUUUUCUGUAUAUAUAAUAGCAUUUUGAUUUAUCCUAUGGCCUUUCAAUUACAAUCCCAAGACAUCCCAUCUCCAUCGGAAGAUCUUGCCAUCGUCUAUUGCUCAAAUUUCCAGCCUCCUCGAACUUAUCCCCGCAUUCCAGAGGGAUCCAACCCACCUGCUACCUCGAGUGCACUUAAUCAGCGAAUAAUUCAUGAUAAACCAAAAGGAAGCGGAGUAGAAAGGUAGAAAAGUAGAAAAGGGGAGUGGCUCCCUCCGUAGCUCGUGUCGCUGAUCACGCAUAGAAAUUAUUAUUGUGCUUUAAUAUAGCCAUAAAUCUGAACAUUUAAAAUGCAGAAAAUAUCGCAUCCUGCUGCGUUUCGGCCAAAACCUGAAAUGCACCGAACGACUUGGAAAUUGGGUAUGGAAUGGGUUAAAAUGGGAUGGGUUAGGAUGGAAUGGAAUGAGUCUGGGUCCCCAACUUAUGACUUCAUCUGCAUUUUUAUGGCGAAUGCCCUGGCGAUAAUAAACCCUGGCACAGGGAUCCGAGCCACCCAUGCGUGCUUCUACCAAAGAGAAAAAAAAAUAGAAAAAAAAAUAAAAAUAAGAAAAGGGGGAGUCGCACUGUGGCAAUAUCAAUAACACUUGCAACUCUGUCCGUCGCCAUGCGACUGCAACAUGAUGCGACAACGUUGUUGUCGUCGUCGUCUUCGUUGUUGCUUUUGUUGUUUUUGUUGUCGUUGUCGUUGGACAAUGUCACUGAACCAGUUCUCAAUGUCUUCAUAUAGAUUUCCACGGCCUGCGAGAGUCAACCUCUGCACUAAAUAUUUACAACCUCCACAAUAUCUCAACGACCGACAACGACGACAAAAAAAAAAUAAAAGACUGAAGCGCAGGGGAAAAAAUAAAAAAAAAAAAAAAAAAACUAAAGCGAGGCUGGUCUUUUCUAUCGGCUGGCCUGGCGGAACAAGUUCAUGCAACUGCAGCAGCCGCAGCUCCACAAAAGGUGUUCAGGCGACCAAGACCAAGAGCCCAAGAGCAACCAGCAACCAGCAACCGGCAACCGAGAUUCAACAACCAACAACAACCAACAACAACAACCAACAACGAUCAACGACCAGCGACCAGUGUCGUUGUGGCCAUAAAUUCAAUUGAAUAUUACGCCAAUUGCCUUUUUGUCUAUCGCGAACCUCGGGGAGGAGUCAACAUGUCGGCCUCCAAACUGGUUCCAUCAUCAUCAGUUCGGUAGAUAUGUCCGCUUUACUUUUUUUUAUUUUCUACUUUAAGCAGAUUUAGUUCAUCUUUGAAUGCUGGGUAAGCCGCUUUCGGCGCGCUAAUUAGACGACUUUCAAGGCACCCAUCUGAAAUCGGCGGGCUAAUAUGCAUCAAAAUGUGUCAACACCUAGAGAGUUCGGGUCCUGAAAGACCGUCCGGCUUAAUUGUUAGCUCCUCUACGCGAUUGAAAGCCCGAAGUUACACAUAAAAAAAAUAAAUUAUUUAUAAACUAAUAAAGUAGUACGACCUAUUAACUGUUAAAGUUUACCACAAGAAAGUAUAAUUGAAACUUAUCCAAAUCAUAAAUAGAACAAUUUGAUUGGUAGUCAAAUAAUAAUGAAUUCUCUCGUUAAUUAACAAAAAAUAUUAAUUAAACUAGAGAAAAGAAAGUGUCUAAUGGAGAGUUAAUAAAAACCUUUUAAAAAUGUUAUCCUGAACUUGGCUUACGCGACAGUACCAGUUGAGAAUUAUAAACGCACAAGGGAUAGAAAUAGAAUAAUAUAGAAUAAUAACCCAAACCUAUCAUAAAUUUCUUUUUAAUGUGGUAAACUACAAAACAGCCUAACAUGUGAGCAAUUUCAUUUUUAGGAAACAUAUCGACUUUCUAGAUAUAUUUGUCAAUUUGAUUCAUUGAUCAAUUUUUCUUUGUGCAGUCCAUGUUUUCACUCCAUUAACGCGUUGUGAAGCUAGAGGAGGAGGAGGGAGGAGGAGGCUGGGGCUGAGGCUGAGUUACCGAGUGCAGAUCCUGAACUGGGACUGGUAAUGAUGCCUGACGUUGACCGAUCGUCGACCGCAAAAGCCAGCCAGCUAGCUAGUCAAAGCCAAAAGCCAGGGGAAAAUGGCAGGGAGAAAAGCGAGAUCCAGAGCAAAAUACAACCCGGCCUGACCGACCGAUCAAAAGUCGUUCAACUUGCCGGAACUGGUCGUAAAGAUCACCUGGCCACCAUUCCGAGCCAAGUCGAGCUGAAUCGCCUAUGUGGAGCAUUUUCCUCUCGAACUUGGCCAAACGCAACUCGUAAAUGGGGAUCUGGACUCCGAGUUAAGGCCGCAGCUCGAGUGGCACAAUAUUAAUGGCCGUCAGAGAGUUCAGGCCGUCCGCAGAAACCCAUAACAAGAGUGGAGAAUCAGCAGAAAUAAACGAUCUGCCAAUGGGUAAAUGAACUUUGACUCCUGCGAUGAGGUUAAGGAAUGCCACUUCGAUCACAAAAGGUCUCCAAGGUUCAGUAGUUGAAUGGCAGCCAGGGUUAGCAAUUUUAUAUACCUUCGAAUCGAUUUGAUUGGAACCACUUUUUAUAUAAAGUAUUCAUCACAGUACAUGAAUUUACUUCUGCAGGAUUAAUUUAACCAAAUAAAUAUAUUUCAUUAA